rnacentral:rRNA from 1 species
AUUGAACGCUGGCGGCAUGCUUUACACAUGCAAGUCGAACGGUAACAGGCCGCAAGGUGCUGACGAGUGGCGAACGGGUGAGUAAUGCAUCGGAACGUGCCCAGUCGUGGGGGAUAACUACUCGAAAGAGUAGCUAAUACCUCAUACGAUCUAUGGAUGAAAGCGGGGGACCGUAAGGCCUCGCGCGAUUUGAGCGGCCGAUGUCAGAUUAGGUAGUUGGUGGGGUAAAGGCUCACCAAGCCAACGAUCUGUAGCUGGUCUGAGAGGACGACCAGCCACACUGGGACUGAGACACGGCCCAGACUCCUACGGGAGGCAGCAGUGGGGAAUUUUGGACAAUGGGCGCAAGCCUGAUCCAGCAAUGCCGCGUGCAGGAAGAAGGCCUUCGGGUUGUAAACUGCUUUUGUACGGAACGAAACGGCUCUGGUUAAUACCCGGAGCUAAUGACGGUACCGUAAGAAUAAGCACCGGCUAACUACGUG